rnacentral:misc_RNA from 1 species
UACCUUGUUUCCUUUCUUGAG